rnacentral:rRNA from 1 species
UUGGUGGCGACCGGCGCACGGGUGAGUAACGCGUAUGCAACCCAUCUAUCAGAGGGGAAUAACCCGGCGAAAGUCGGACUAAUACCGCAUAAAACAGGGACACCGCAUGGUGAUAUUUGUUAAAGAAAUUCGCUGAUAGAUGGGCAUGCGUUCCAUUAGGUAGUUGGUGAGGUAACGGCUCACCAAGCCGACGAUGGAUAGGGGAACUGAGAGGUUGGUCCCCCACACUGGUACUGAGACACGGACCAGACUCCUACGGGAGGCAGCAGUGAGGAAUAUUGGUCAAUGGGCGAGAGCCUGAACCAGCCAAGUCGCGUGAAGGAAGAAGGAUCUAUGGUUCGUAAACUUCUUUUGCAGGGGAAUAAAGUGCAGGACGUGUCCUGUUUUGUAUGUACCCUGAGAAUAAGGAUCGGCUAACUCCGUGCCAGCAGCCGCGGUAAUACGGAGGAUCCGAGCGUUAUCCGGAUUUAUUGGGUUUAAAGGGUGCGUAGGU